rnacentral:rRNA from 1 species
UACGUAGGGUCCGAGCGUUGUCCGGAAUUACUGGGCGUAAAGAGCUCGUAGGUGGUUUGUCGCGUUGUUCGUGAAAACUCACAGCUCAACUGUGGGCGUGCGGGCGAUACGGGCAGACUGGAGUACUGCAGGGGAGACUGGAAUUCCUGGUGUAGCGGUGGAAUGCGCAGAUAUCAGGAGGAACACCGGUGGCGAAGGCGGGUCUCUGGGCAGUAACUGACGCUGGAGGAGCGAAAGCCGUGGGGAGCGAACAGG